AGACCCGAAACCCGGUGAUCUAGCCAUGGGCAGGUUGAAGGUUGGGUAACACUAACUGGAGGACCGAACCGACUAAUGUUGAAAAAUUAGCGGAUGACCUGUGGCUGGGGGUGAAAGGCCAAUCAAACCGGGAGAUAGCUGGUUCUCCCCGAAAGCUAUUUAGGUAGCGCCUCGUGAACUCAUCUCCGGGGGUAGAGCACUGUUUCGGCUAGGGGGCCAUCCCGGCUUACCAACCCGAUGCAAACUGCGAAUACCGGAGAAUGUUAUCACGGGAGACACACGGCGGGUGCUAACGUCCGUCGUGAAGAGGGAAACAACCCAGACCGCCAGCUAAGGUCCCAAAGUCAUGGUUAAGUGGGAAACGAUGUGGGAAGGCCCAGACAGCCAGGAUGUUGGCUUAGAAGCAGCCAUCAUUUAAAGAAAGCGUAAUAGCUCACUGGUCGAGUCGGCCUGCGCGGAAGAUGUAACGGGGCUAAACCAUGCACCGAAGCUGCGGCAGCGGCACGCAAGUGUUGUUGGGU
rnacentral:rRNA from 1 species